GACGAACCGAGCGAACGUUGUUCGGAAUCACUGGGCUUAAAGGGCGCGUAGGCGGGUGCUCAAGUCCGGGGUGAAAUCCUCCAGCUCAACUGGAGAACUGCCUCGGAUGACUGGGCGUCUCGAGUGGUGGUAGGGGGUGUGCGGAACUAUCGGUGGAGCGGUGAAAUGCGUUGAUAUCGAUAGGAACUCCGGUGGCGAAGGCGGCACACUGGACCACCACUGACGCUGAUGCGCGAAAGCCAGGGGAGCAAACGGGG
rnacentral:rRNA from 1 species